AUGGACCCCAACACUCUGAAUCUUGAACUCUUUGACAAGAAUACCAGGAGCUUGAGGCAAUGCCCCAGUGAAGGUGAUGCUAAAUGGGAGAAAUCAAAGAAUGCUGGAGUGGGAAGGAACCACAGAGAAUUCAAUGGCGUCAUUUUACAGACAUGCAGUUGGGAGGAAGGUACUGAAACAAAGGGAGAUACUAAGGACACUAAGACAUCUGUUCCAAUGAAAAAUGAGAAAUAA
rnacentral:lncRNA from 1 species